GUGUUCGAUGUAGGGAUAAUAGAGUGACAUGGCACUUGGGAACUAGGACAGAGACAGAAGAAAACCGAGUAGUGAUCUCCCGGACGUCUCCCUCCGUCUGCUCUCCGUUGCCCAAAUGAACGUUUCAAAUAAAAAUUAAGAAACGAAUAAACAGAAGGAAGGCGAAGCAGCAGAGUAAGUCCUACGGUUUUCUCGACGUGUCGAGUUGUGGGGGCAGUCCACAACCCGAUGCUGCUGUUCAUGCUUGGUCAAAGUAAGGGUAUUCAUUUGCAAUUGUUGAAUUGUUUAUUUGAUAUGGAAUAACAGAAAGAUUAUAUCUUGGCGAUAUUUCCUGGUUGGUGAUAUCGUCAUCUAUUUGGAAUGAAAUUUUUGUACCCAGAUCUGUAUUCUCAGGUCCCCUCCCCUCUUCACCACCGGGGAAUUUUUUUAUGACUGGAAGGAAUCAAAGAGUAAAAAGGAAGAGAAAAUAAAGCCUCUUGGCUUUGAACUUCAUAUGCAUUGCUAGUUUUUCCAUGGAAUCCAUUAUCCCUGCAAAUUCCAGGCUUCUAUCAAUGAGUUCUGUCCAGUGUAAACGCUGUCUGAAAAUCAGUAUCGUCGUUCUUUUUGUUGUGGUGAUCCUGGUAACUGCUUAUACUGCACUCAGAGCAGGAGACGUUCAACGAUCAUACUUCACUGUGGUUCUGGAUUGUGGAAGCACUGGUACCCGAGUAAAUGUGUACGAAUGGCAAAGAAAUAUCACAAGUAAACAUGACUUGCCUACCUUGUUGAACUCAUUUCCUGAUUUAUCAACCAAGAAUCCUCUCCAUAAGGAUGCUUGUCAUUACCAGUGCAUGCAAACUGAGCCUGGUCUGGAUAAAUUUGUUCACAACUCUUCUGGCAUAAGGGCAGCGUUGGAGCCAUUGCUUAUUUGGGCACAGCAGCAAAUACCUUCUGAAAGACUUGGUGAUACUUCUCUCUUCCUUUUAGCGACUGCUGGGUUGCGAAAUUUGCCGAAAGAGGAUGCUGGCUGGAUUUUGGAGAAUGCAGCAGCUGUUGUAAGGGAGCACCCAUUUGUUUAUAGAAUAAGUUCAAUUAGGGUGUUGAGUGGAAAGGAAGAAGCUUACUAUAGUUGGGUUGCUUUAAACUAUAAAUUAAGGUUCCUGGAUAAGUCUUCGAACACUCCCACAUUAGGAGUCCUUGACUUGGGUGGUUCAUCCUUGCAAGUGGUUAUGGAAAUAGACGAAUCAAGAGAAGAUAAACAUUUCAUGAGAUCGAAAAUUGGGCCAAUUGAGCACCAGAUUUUGGCAUACUCAUUACCGGCAUUUGGUCUGAAUGAGGCCUUUGAUAGAACCAUUAUAAUUCUGAAUGAACAGCAGCUGCUGCCUAGAGAUACUGCUGAUGUAAAAUUUGAACUCAGCCAUCCUUGUCUCAGUUCAGGAUUUAUGCAGAAUUAUACUUGCUAUGGUUGCUUCCGGUCGAAUGGUAGCAGUGCAAAAAAUUUGAGUGGUCCACCAUUGAGUAAUAGUGAUGGCUUCCCUUUGGUUAAUCUGGUAGGGGAUCCAGAUUGGGAACAAUGCAAGGAACUUGCAAGGGCUGCUGCGAUUCAUUCAAGAAGCUCUGAUUCGUUGCAGUUAACAGCAGAUAUGAAUUGCAAAUCAUUGCCUUCCUUUAAUGGCACUGAUUCCAUUAAUUCGACAGCUAGCCAUCUCUCUGUUGCUCGCUUCCACGCUUUAUCUGGAUUUUUUGCAGUCUACAAUGUGCUAAAUUUGAAUCCCAGAGCUAAUUUGUCUAAGAUCUUGGAGAAAGGCAAGGAAUUAUGUUCAAGUUCAUGGGCUGACUUGAAGAAAAGUUACAAAAACAUAAAUCAUGCUGUACAAUACUGUUUCAGGGUACCAUAUUUGGUAUCACUCAUUGAGGAAGCUUUGUGUCUGGGUGAUGCAGAGAUAUUGUUUGGUCCAGGAGAUGUUUCUUGGACAUUAGGAGCUGCACUAAUUGAAGGGGAAUACUUGUUGCCUAGUCAAACAGAACCUCAUGCUGGAAUGUUCAGUCUGAAGGCGGAGCUUUGCUUGGGAAUGAAGCCAAGGUGGUCCCUCAAGCUGCCAUCAACGAAGUUAAUAAUCCACGUACCUUUACGUAUCUGAGCCGGCGUUCUAAAAUUCAACCAAGUGCAGUGGGUUGCUUUUCAAUGUUUACCUAGAAAACCGCUGCCCUUGGUGGGCAUGUGGUCCAAAUACUUUCAUCCAAAUGCGGAGGAACUGACAACCGGUUAAAGGUUUAAAAUACUGGAAUCAGGAUCCGGAUCGGUUUCAGAAUCAACAUAUUUCAGGCAUCUAAGGUUUUUCGUAUAGCACAAACCUGAGCCGAAUUGGGAUUGGUUGCUUCCAAUCCGAAUCUUAAAAUCAUAAUGUUAUCAACCCCUUAAGCUAUGUUUGGUUGCAAGGGAAAUUAAAGGAAAGAGAAGUGAACAUUUUCGAACUUACAAAGGAAGCUUUUGUGUUCAUUCUUUAACAUGAGUGUAUGAUUUACCUAGUUUUCUUACCAUAUUUAGUAAUGAUGCUUUUAGAUGUUAUUUUUCUUUUCAAACACUGGAUAUGGAUGUAAAUUAAAGUGUAAUGUAGGGAAAAUUCUGGGCUUGCCAUUAUGGUGACCUGACCUGUUUGGCUCUC